rnacentral:rRNA from 1 species
GGGUUGUGAGGUUAAGCGACUAAGCGUACACGGUGGAUGCCCUGGCAGUCAGAGGCGAUGAAGGACGUGCUAAUCUGCGAUAAGCGUCGGUAAGGUGAUAUGAACCGUUAUAACCGGCGAUUUCCGAAUGGGGAAACCCAGUGUGUUUCGACACACUAUCAUUAACUGAAUCCAUAGGUUAAUGAGGCGAACCGGGGGAACUGAAACAUCUAAGUACCCCGAGGAAAAGAAAUCAACCGAGAUUCCCCCAGUAGCGGCGAGCGAACGGGGAGCAGCCCAGAGCCUGAAUCAGUGUGUGUGUUAGUGGAAGCGUCUGGAAAGGCGCGCGAUACAGGGUGACAGCCCCGUACACAAAAAUGCACAUGCUGUGAGCUCGAUGAGUAGGGCGGGACACGUGGUAUCCUGUCUGAAUAUGGGGGGACCAUCCUCCAAGGCUAAAUACUCCUGACUGACCGAUAGUGAACCAGUACCGUGAGGGAAAGGCGAAAAGAACCCCGGCGAGGGGAGUGAAAAAGAACCUGAAACCGUGUACGUACAAGCAGUGGGAGCACGCUUAGGCGUGUGACUGCGUACCUUUUGUAUAAUGGGUCAGCGACUUAUAUUCUGUAGCAAGGUUAACCGAAUAGGGGAGCCGAAGGGAAACCGAGUCUUAACUGGGCGUUAAGUUGCAGGGUAUAGACCCGAAACCCGGUGAUCUAGCCAUGGGCAGGUUGAAGGUUGGGUAACACUAACUGGAGGACCGAACCGACUAAUGUUGAAAAAUUAGCGGAUGACUUGUGGCUGGGGGUGAAAGGCCAAUCAAACCGGGAGAUAGCUGGUUCUCCCCGAAAGCUAUUUAGGUAGCGCCUCGUGAAUUCAUCUCCGGGGGUAGAGCACUGUUUCGGCAAGGGGGUCAUCCCGACUUACCAACCCGAUGCAAACUGCGAAUACCGGAGAAUGUUAUCACGGGAGACACACGGCGGGUGCUAACGUCCGUCGUGAAGAGGGAAACAACCCAGACCGCCAGCUAAGGUCCCAAAGUCAUGGUUAAGUGGGAAACGAUGUGGGAAGGCCCAGACAGCCAGGAUGUUGGCUUAGAAGCAGCCAUCAUUUAAAGAAAGCGUAAUAGCUCACUGGUCGAGUCGGCCUGCGCGGAAGAUGUAACGGGGCUAAACCAUGCACCGAAGCUGCGGCAGCGACGCUGAUGCGUUGUUGGGUAGGGGAGCGUUCUGUAAGCCUGCGAAGGUGUGCUGUGAGGCAUGCUGGAGGUAUCAGAAGUGCGAAUGCUGACAUAAGUAACGAUAAAGCGGGUGAAAAGCCCGCUCGCCGGAAGACCAAGGGUUCCUGUCCAACGUUAAUCGGGGCAGGGUGAGUCGACCCCUAAGGCGAGGCCGAAAGGCGUAGUCGAUGGGAAACAGGUUAAUAUUCCUGUACUUGGUGUUACUGCGAAGGGGGGACGGAGAAGGCUAUGUUGGCCGGGCGACGGUUGUCCCGGUUUAAGCGUGUAGGCUGGUUUUCCAGGCAAAUCCGGAAAAUCAAGGCUGAGGCGUGAUGACGAGGCACUACGGUGCUGAAGCAACAAAUGCCCUGCUUCCAGGAAAAGCCUCUAAGCAUCAGGUAACAUCAAAUCGUACCCCAAACCGACACAGGUGGUCAGGUAGAGAAUACCAAGGCGCUUGAGAGAACUCGGGUGAAGGAACUAGGCAAAAUGGUGCCGUAACUUCGGGAGAAGGCACGCUGAUAUGUAGGUGAAGUCCCUUGCGGAUGGAGCUGAAAUCAGUCGAAGAUACCAGCUGGCUGCAACUGUUUAUUAAAAACACAGCACUGUGCAAACACGAAAGUGGACGUAUACGGUGUGACGCCUGCCCGGUGCCGGAAGGUUAAUUGAUGGGGUUAGCCGCAAGGCGAAGCUCUUGAUCGAAGCCCCGGUAAACGGCGGCCGUAACUAUAACGGUCCUAAGGUAGCGAAAUUCCUUGUCGGGUAAGUUCCGACCUGCACGAAUGGCGUAAUGAUGGCCAGGCUGUCUCCACCCGAGACUCAGUGAAAUUGAACUCGCUGUGAAGAUGCAGUGUACCCGCGGCAAGACGGAAAGACCCCGUGAACCUUUACUAUAGCUUGACACUGAACAUUGAGCCUUGAUGUGUAGGAUAGGUGGGAGGCUUGGAAGUGUGGACGCCAGUCUGCAUGGAGCCGACCUUGAAAUACCACCCUUUAAUGUUUGAUGUUCUAACGUUGACCCGUAAUCCGGGUUGCGGACAGUGUCUGGUGGGUAGUUUGACUGGGGCGGUCUCCUCCUAAAGAGUAACGGAGGAGCACGAAGGUUGGCUAAUCCUGGUCGGACAUCAGGAGGUUAGUGCAAUGGCAUAAGCCAGCUUGACUGCGAGCGUGACGGCGCGAGCAGGUGCGAAAGCAGGUCAUAGUGAUCCGGUGGUUCUGAAUGGAAGGGCCAUCGCUCAACGGAUAAAAGGUACUCCGGGGAUAACAGGCUGAUACCGCCCAAGAGUUCAUAUCGACGGCGGUGUUUGGCACCUCGAUGUCGGCUCAUCACAUCCUGGGGCUGAAGUAGGUCCCAAGGGUAUGGCUGUUCGCCAUUUAAAGUGGUACGCGAGCUGGGUUUAGAACGUCGUGAGACAGUUCGGUCCCUAUCUGCCGUGGGCGCUGGAGAACUGAGGGGGGCUGCUCCUAGUACGAGAGGACCGGAGUGGACGCAUCACUGGUGUUCGGGUUGUCAUGCCAAUGGCACUGCCCGGUAGCUAAAUGCGGAAGAGAUAAGUGCUGAAAGCAUCUAAGCACGAAACUUGCCCCGAGAUGAGUUCUCCCUGACCCUUUAAGGGUCCUGAAGGAACGUUGAAGACGACGACGUUGAUAGGCCGGGUGUGUAAGCGCAGCGAUGCGUUGAGCUAACCGGUACUAAUGAACCGUGAGGCUUAACCUUACAACGCCGAAGCUGUU